ACCCUCCGAAUCCCUUACCUGUCAGACCCAAGCACUGGUCUGAGUGGUUAUGAAUGGAGGAAAAGCAAAAUGGAAACUGAUUUAAAUUUUGUGUGUGACCCACAAUGUAGUGUCAAAGAAAC
rnacentral:snoRNA from 1 species